AUGCAAGUCGAGCGAAGUGGCCCAUUGAUUUGAGUGCUUGCACGAGAUUGAUUUGGAUUCCACUUAGUGGCGCAAGGGUGAGUAACACGUGGGUUAUCUACCUCAGAGACUGGAAUAACAAUUGGAAACGAUUGCUAAUGCCGGAUGAUAUGUAAGACGAUACGUUGUCUUAUAUUAAAAGGAGCCUUUAAAGCUUCACUUUGAGAUGAGCCUGCGGCGUAUUAGCUAGUUGGUAAGGUAAUGGCUUACCAAGGCGACGAUGCGUAGCCGGCCUGAGAGGGUGAUCGGCCACAUUGGGACUGAGACACGGCCAAACUCCUACGGGAGACAGCAGUUAGGAAUAUUCGUCAAUGGGGGAAACCCUGAACGAGCAAUGCCGCGUGAGUGAUGACGGUCCUUUGGAUUGUAAAACUCUGUUGUUAGGGAAGAACGACUUGUGUAGGAAAUGACACAAGAGUGACUGUACCUUUCAAGAAAGCCCCGGCUAACUACGUG
rnacentral:rRNA from 1 species